UGGGAAAAAUUAGGGGAAUAGCAUACUUUUAUCGGGGCAGAAUACAUGCUAAGAGUAACGAAAAAAACAGAAAACAAAACACAUGCACACGUUAUCUAAAGGAAACAGCAGUCCCCCCUAAUCAAGAACAGAAACUUGGAAACUCGAGCCUGUUAUGUUUUCGGUUCCUUCUGACAACUGAUCAUCUUCACCAUCUCUUCCAAUCUUAGAACUGAAUCUCUCUCUCUCUCUCCUUCUUGGUGUUUCAAAUGGAAUCAAGUACACAAUUUUCUAAGACCAAGAUAUGAACUCCACACGUGGGACCCACAACACUGCCACUCCCCGCCGCCGGCGGAGGAACACCACCGGCUCCGUUCGACGGAAGCUCAAAAUCCCGCCAACCCCUUUUUUGCAUUGGAAGUUUCUUCAAGAUGAUAACAAGAGCAGACACCCCGCCGCCUCCGGCAGUGUUGCCAGCGGAGUGAAGCCGGCCGGACAGGGAGGUGUUGGUGUUGGUGGUAGUAGGGCUGCAGUGUCGGCUAGGAAGCUGGCGGCUGGGCUGUGGAACCUAUGCUUGGCGGGUGGUGGUGGAGGUGAUAAAGCUUUGAACUUGAAAUAUGGGAAAACUGAUGAAUUGGGGUUAGAGAUUGAAUCCCCGUUACUGUAUUCUAAGCAUAUCAUGGAGGGUGCAAUGAAGUGGGAACCGAGAUGCUCAAGAAAAUUCAGUGACAUCUGCAGCUUUUAUAGCCACACAAAACUUCUUGAAAAUCAAGUUGCUAUGGUGUCUGCUUCUGCCAUGCAAGAAGAACUAGUGCAAGCUCGAUUGCGCAUUCAUGAGCUUGAAGCUGAGUGCCAGUCUUAUGAGAAGAAAGUCAAACACUUACAGAAGAAGCUGGGAGAAGAAAGAACCUCAUGGCAGAGCAGCGAACGUCAGAAAAUUCAUGCAGUUAUAGAUGAUUGUGAAAAUCAAAUAAGCAGGGAAAGAAAAAAACGCCAAAAGCUGGAACUUCUCAAUUAUAAAUUGGUCAAUGAGUUAUCAAAUGUCAAAUCCUCUGCAAAGCAGUUCAGGGAAGAUUAUGAAGAGGAACAAAAGGCCAGAGAAAUAAUGGAGGAAGUUUGCAAUGAACUUGCCUAUAAAGUUGCGGAAGAUAAAGCUGAAGUUGAAACAUUCAAGACUGAGUCCAUCAGGAUUCAGGAAGAAAUGGAAGAAGAGAGGAAGAUGUUGCAGAUGGCUGAGGUAUGGCGCGAAGAACGGGUCCAAAUGAAGUUGAUUGAUGCAAAACUGGCCCUUGAAGACAAGGAUUGCCAAAUGAAUAAAUUAAUAACAGACCUUGAAACUUUUCUAAGGUCAAGAAGUGGCACCUUGGAUGUGAAUGAGUUAAGGAAAGCCGAGUUGAUCAGACAAGCAGCAAAAUUGGUAAAUGUUAAAGACAUCAAGGAAUUUUCUUAUGCCCCACCAAAAUUAAGUGAUAUAUACUCUAUUUAUGAAGAACUCAAGCAAAUUGAAGACAAUGAAAGGGAGAUUGAAGAAUGCAAGAAGAGCAGCCCUGCAAGCAAUGCUUCCAAACUCCAUCUUGCCAGUUCUGAUUUGAGUGCCUAUAACUACCAUUCUUUGCAGCAAGGGUCGACUAUUAUUAAUGAUGAUAACCGUCAUUUAGAAGAUGCAAGAGGCUGUGAUGCAGUGAGUCAUGCUGAGGGUCAAGGUUCGAGUUAUUCCCAUGAAGGGAAUCAACUCCCUGUUAGCAGGCUUAGCCAAAGCAAAAAUGCUUGGCAGAUUGCAAGAGAAUGUGAUGAGAAUGAAGCUCAGAAUUCUCCAAACACACAAAGUGGUGGUGUCUACUCGGUAACGGGAGAAUCAAUGCACAGGGCAUCUUCCAUAUCUAAGCUUUCAAGAUCUGCCCAAUGUAACAACAAAUGCUAUGAGAUAACAGCAGAUGACAGUAAUGGAGUGGCCUUGAAUGGAAAAUUUUCUAACAAGGAGACUUCUCCCAGAAGAAAGUCGUGGGAAUGUAUGCUUCGGCACCAAGAUUCCAUGGAGCAGUGGAGCUCGCCAGAGUCAGUGAAUCCACACGUUACUCAAGGAAUUAAAAAGCGAUUUAAAUGGUCCCGAGGCAUCCAAAAGAAUAGUUUGAAGGCCAAGCUUUUGGAAGCCAGGAUGGAAAGCCAGAAAGCUCAGUUGCGCAGUGUUCUUAAACAAAAGACUUAGGUGAAGUAACUUCCCAAAAUUCUGCUGUUUGAGCAGUUCUAACCAGAAGAACAACGUCAGCCUAAAAGCCUCGUUAAUGCUGGAGUUUAGGGGAGAAAAUUGUAAACCUCAAGUAGACAGACAUCUAUCGAUCGACCUUCUUGCAUGCUUGUUUCAUCGAUCAUUAUCAGCCCUGCUUUUGCCAUCUUGCUACUACUAAUCUGACAUGUCACGGUUAUUACUAUGGAUCCAUCGGUUAGUGCUGUUACUGGCAUCAAUGUCAACCUUUCUUCUCCAAAUUCAUUCUCUCCAGCUCCUGGACGAACAACAACAAUCAACACAACCAUGACUUCCUCUACCGCGACAACAACACAUAUUCCCCUCUCCGACACCAAGCAGGUUAUUAAUACCAAACUCAUCAACAAUAAUUAUUUGUUUUGGCAUGUGCAGAUGAAGUCGUAUAUGCUUGGUCAAUGAGUCUUCUUGUUUGUUGACGGCUAGACUCUAUGGCUCUCUCCACAUGAUCUGUCUAGUAUUGUUUUUGUUGCCUCUAUUAGGGUCAAUUCAAGCCCUUCCUCAGCGUUUCUGACUUGGAAACAACAAGAUUAGCUCAUCUUUAGCACUUUGUUGUCCUCUCUCUCAAUUGAUGCUCUCUAUCUCGUGGUCGAUUGUCCAACUUCUGCCAGUGUUUGGAGCACUCUCGAACAUGCUCUUGCCUCCCCAUCAAACCCUAGGAUCAUACAAUUGCAUGGCUCUCUUCAGGAUCUUCGACAAGGUGAUGAUACUGUCACUCUCUACUUGCAACACACUAAAGAUUUGUUUGAUGAAUUAGCUGCAACUGGCAGACCUAUCUCCCUCACUGAUUUCAACUUAGUGAUGCGUUAGCAGAAAAUUCUACAACUUGGUUUCCUGACACAGGUGUGAAUCACCAUGUUACUCCAGAUAUUACCGGUAUGACACACACAGAACCCUAUCUCAGUAAUGAUCAAUUACAUGUUUGUAAUGGUAAGGGACUUGUUAUAUCUAAUACCACAUAAAAUAUCUUACAUACUCCAAAAUGAGUCUUUACCUUGUCUAAUAUAUUACAUGUUCCACAAAUUAAAUAAAAAAAAAUAUUACUCUCUGUUCAACAAUUUUGUAAUGAAAAUUCUUUCUCUUUUGAAUUUCACUCUUCUGUUUUCUAUGUCAAGGAUCUCAUCGCUAAGGAAGUUCUUCUUUUCGGUCAGAGUAAAGAUGGCCUCUAUGCCCUUUCAGAGUCUUCUGCCACAUCUCUACCGCAAGCUUUGCUGUCUGCUAGCUUGCCCACUUUCACCGAUAUUUGGCAUCGUCAACUCAGUCACCCAAGUUCAUGUAUUCUGAAUCUUUUAGCUUCCAAUAAAAAGGUUUACUGUAACUCUCGUCAUCUCAAAUUUCAAAGUCAAGCUUGUCCGUUAGGAAAAUCCUCUCGUUUGUCAUUAGGACCUAUAUGUCAUAAAACUUCUGCUUCUCUUAAACUUAUUUUUAGUGAUGUUUGGGGCCUUGCUCCUAUGCUAUCUUCUGAAGAAUUUUGAUAUUUUAUCAUAUUUGUGGAUGCGCAUAUAAAAUUUAUUUGAUUU